rnacentral:rRNA from 1 species
GGGACACGUGGUAUCCUGUCUGAAUAUGGGGGGACCAUCCUCCAAGGCUAAAUACUCCUGACUGACCGAUAGUGAACCAGUACCGUGAGGGAAAGGCGAAAAGAACCCCGGCGAGGGGAGUGAAAAAGAACCUGAAACCGUGUACGUACAAGCAGUGGGAGCACGCUUAGGCGUGUGACUGCGUACCUUUUGUAUAAUGGGUCAGCGACUUAUAUUCUGUAGCAAGGUUAACCGAAUAGGGGAGCCGAAGGGAAACCGAGUCUUAACUGGGCGUUAAGUUGCAGGGUAUAGACCCGAAACCCGGUGAUCUAGCCAUGGGCAGGUUGAAGGUUGGGUAACACUAACUGGAGGACCGAACCGACUAAUGUUGAAAAAUUAGCGGAUGACUUGUGGCUGGGGGUGAAAGGCCAAUCAAACCGGGAGAUAGCUGGUUCUCCCCGAAAGCUAUUUAGGUAGCGCCUCGUGAAUUCAUCUCCGGGGGUAGAGCACUGUUUCGGCAAGGGGGUCAUCCCGACUUACCAACCCGAUGCAAACUGCGAAUACCGGAGAAUGUUAUCACGGGAGACACACGGCGGGUGCUAACGUCCGUCGUGAAGAGGGAAACAACCCAGACCGCCAGCUAAGGUCCCAAAGUCAUGGUUAAGUGGGAAACGAUGUGGGAAGGCCCAGACAGCCAGGAUGUUGGCUUAGAAGCAGCCAUCAUUUAAAGAAAGCGUAAUAGCUCACUGGUCGAGUCGGCCUGCGCGGAAGAUGUAACGGGGCUAAACCAUGCACCGAAGCUGCGGCAGCGACACUAUGUGUUGUUGGGUAGGGGAGCGUUCUGUAAGCCUGUGAAGGUGUGCUGUGAGGCAUGCUGGAGGUAUCAGAAGUGCGAAUGCUGACAUAAGUAACGAUAAAGCGGGUGAAAAGCCCGCUCGCCGGAAGACCAAGGGUUCCUGUCCAACGUUAAUCGGGGCAGGGUGAGUCGACCCCUAAGGCGAGGCCGAAAGGCGUAGUCGAUGGGAAACAGGUUAAUAUUCCUGUACUUGGUGUUACUGCGAAGGGGGGACGGAGAAGGCUAUGUUGGCCGGGCGACGGUUGUCCCGGUUUAAGCGUGUAGGCUGGUUUUCCAGGCAAAUCCGGAAAAUCAAGGCUGAGGCGUGAUGACGAGGCACUACGGUGCUGAAGCAACAAAUGCCCUGCUUCCAGGAAAAGCCUCUAAGCAUCAGGUAACAUCAAAUCGUACCCCAAACCGACACAGGUGGUCAGGUAGAGAAUACCAAGGCGCUUGAGAGAACUCGGGUGAAGGAACUAGGCAAAAUGGUGCCGUAACUUCGGGAGAA